UACAGAGGGGGCAAGCGUUGUUCGGAAUUACUGGGCGUAAAGGGCGCGUAGGCGGCCUUCUAAGUCGGACGUGAAAUCCCCGGGCUCAACCCGGGAACUGCGUCCGAGACUGGGAGGCUUGAAUCCGGGAGAGGGAUGUGGAAUUCCAGGUGUAGCGGUGAAAUGCGUAGAUAUCUGGAGGAACAUCGGUGGCGAAGGCGGCAUCCUGGACCGGUAUUGACGCUGAGGCGCGAAAGCCAGGGGAGCAAACGGG
rnacentral:rRNA from 1 species